GCAUUAUCAGCGCCCUCAGCGCCAUCAUCUCCCCCGGGGUAGAAGGGUCAAAACCAUAGUCAAGGCAGGCUUCACGAGCCUUUUGGCGUGACUCCUCGUAAGUGGCUUCAGACACGACGCCAGCCUCCCACAACCGCCUGUACACGUCGAGCUGAGCCUCAGCAUACGUCCAAAGCUCGCAAGCAGGACCAAAAGCAGUGACCUGAUACCUCCGGCGUUGGUUCUCGGCCUCCAAGGCCACAAUUCGAUCCACCGCAACACGAGCAUCUCGAUCGCAGACGGUAAUACGCCCCUCUAACGAUCGUUCUCGAAAAAAGCGACGGCCCUCUCUAAUCCACGCUCCCUUUCCUGGGCACGGUUGGUC
rnacentral:lncRNA from 1 species